AGUGAACGCUGGCGGUAGGCCUAACACAUGCAAGUCGAACGGCGGCACAGUAAGAGCUUGCUCUUACGGGUGGCGAGUGGCGGACGGGUGAGGAAUACAUCGGAAUCUACUUUUUCGUGGGUGAUAACGUAGGGAAACUUACGCUAAUACCGCAUACGACCUACGGGUGAAAGCAGGGGAUCUUCGGACCUUGCGCGUUUGAAUGAGCCGAUGUCGGAUUAGCUAGUUGGCGGGGUAAAGGCCCACCAAGGCGACGAUCCGUAGCUGGUCUGAGAGGAUGAUCAGCCACACUGGAACUGAGACACGGUCCAGACUCCUACGGGAGGCAGCAGUGGGGAAUAUUGGACAAUGGGCGAAAGCCUGAUCCAGCCAUACCGCGUGGGUGAAGAAGGCCUUCGGGUUGUAAAGCCCUUUUGUUGGGAAAGAAAAGCAGCAGGUUAAUACCCCGCUGUUCUGACGGUACCCAAAGAAUAAGCACCGGCUAACUUCGUG
rnacentral:rRNA from 1 species